rnacentral:rRNA from 1 species
CGGGCGACGCGCCGGUCUAAGUCCCUUGGAACGGGGCGUCACAGAGGGUGAGAAUCCCGUAUGUGACCGGUGACGGAGCCCGUGUGAAACCCCUUCGACGAGUCGAGUUGUUUGGGAAUGCAGCUCAAAACGGGUGGUAAAUUUCAUCUAAAGCUAAAUACCGGCCAGAGACCGAUAGCGCACAAGUAGAGUGAUCGAAAGAUGAAAAGCACUUUGGAAAGAGAGUCAAAAAGUACGUGAAAUUGUUGAAAGGGAAGCGCUUGCGACCAGACCUGCCCGCGGGCGAUCAGCCGUCCUUCUGGGCGGUGCACUCGCCCGCGAUCAGGCCAGCAUCGGUUCGGGCGGCCGGAUAAAGGCCCCGGGAACGUAGCUCCCUUCGGGGAGUGUUAUAGCCCGGGGCGCCAUGCGGCCUGCCCGGACCGAGGACCGCGCUUCGGCUAGGAUGCUGGCGUAAUGGUCGUAAGCGGCCCGUCUUGAAACACGGACCAAGGAGUCGACCAACUAUGCGAGUGUUUGGGCGUCAAACCCACACGCGCAAUGAAAGUGAACGGAGGUGGGAACCUCGCGGGGCGCACCAUCGACCGAUCCAGAUGUCUUCGGAUGGAUUUGAGUACGAGCAUAGCUGGUCGGACCCGAAAGAUGGUGAACUAUGCCUGAAUAGGGUGAAGCCAGAGGAAACUCUGGUGGAGGCUCGCAGCGGUUCUGACGUGCAAAUCGAUCGUCAAAUUUGGGCAUAGGGGCGAAAGACUAAUCGAACCGUC